GGAGAGUUAUCGAAGCGGUCAUAACGAGGUGCACUCGAAAUGCAUUUAAGGGUCAAACCUUACGUGGGUUCGAAUCCCACACUCUCCGCCA
rnacentral:tRNA from 1 species